rnacentral:rRNA from 1 species
CCUACGGGAGGCAGCAGUAGGGAAUUUUCGGCAAUGGGGGGAACCCUGACCGAGCAACGCCGCGUGAAGGAAGAAGGAAUUCGUUCUGUAAACUUCUGUUAUAAAGGAAGAAAGACGGAUGGAGGAAAUGACAUCCGAGUGACGGUACUUUAUGAGAAAGCCACGGCUAACUCCGUGCCAGCAGCCGCGGUAAUACGUAGGUGGCAAGUGUUAACCGGAUUUAGUGGGCGGAAAGAGGGAGCAGUCGGAAGGAAAGGUAUGGGGUGAAAGACUGAAGCUUAACUUCAGUAAGCCAUAGAAACCGGGCGGCUAGAGUGCGGGAGAGGAUCGUGGAAU